GCGGGAGGAUGAGCUGAAGUUUUGUUUGUAGCGGAAAAAACUAGUAAUUUACAACCGGUGCUUGACAGACGGUUAUCCGACGACCUGUGCAGAGUCUCUGGAGUUAUCCAGAAAUAUUUCCAGCUUUUUUUUCCCCCCACGACUUUACUUUAUCAACGAAGUCGUGGGUUGUAUUUCGCAGCGGGAGCAGUUUGUCGUAUGAGCUGCUAAGCUAACAGUAACUGUAGCUUCUGAACUCAGCGAAAUGGCAUCAAGAAAACCCAAAGACGACGAUCUCAGCCUUCCUUUCGCCGCCCUCCAGCUGCUGGCUCCCCCGGUGCGCGUGGUGUCCGCGGCUCUGUGGAAGGUGCUGCAGCAGAGGGACGUGAUGCAGUACGGCGUCGUGGAGGAGUUCGUCACGUCGGCCUGCGAGACGGUGCCAGGACUGCUCACCAGCAGACACCAGGGGAGGCUGGCUCUGGGCCUGAGAGCCCGGUUAAUCCUGGAGUUGUGCUCCGUGCAGCCAGAUGUGAAGGUGAUUCAGCCUCAUCUGGAAAGGAUCCGUGCACCUGCUUCAGCCUCCACUGUGAAGAAGGAUGUAAAGAUCGUGCACACAGUGGAACAAUUCCACGCUUUUGUUCACACGCUGCUCACAGAGCCAGCGGAGAGGGAGCACUUCUUCAAGGAAGAGUUCCCCGUGGAGUACGGCCCGACGUUUGACCGGGAGCUGGAGAAGCUGCUGUGGGAGUUCCUCAUUCGGUUGGAUCAGCUGCUUCCUGUUCCCAGCCUGCAGCAGACGGCAUCGUGGCUCAGGGACGCCCCCCCUGUCCUGGAGGAGUGUGCGCAGGCGGCCACCCAACCUCAGCUCCUAGAGAUCUUACUGAAGCAUCAGACCUGUCUGGGUCAUCUGGAAGCAGCAGCAUCCCUGCCUCCAAACAUGGGCGACUCCAUCCUGACCUCCAUGUCUCUGCCGCCGUCUGGACGGGUCAGAAAAUCGCCCUCGGACCAGUGUCAGGGUAAAGCACCAAUCACACCCGUUUUCGGCCUCAUCUCGAAUGAGGACGUCCCCAUCAUGAGGACGCUGCAGAAAGAGAGCCAGAGCUUCACGUCAAUCAGGUACAAACCCGAAGCCGGCGGCAGUGAGGCGGGCUGCUCCCCCCGCGGCGCCGGGACGAAGCGCAAGCAGCCCGAGGAAGGAGAGCGGGAGUCCAGUGAGGGAGAAGAGGAAGCCGCAGGCCCGUCCAGACCCGCCAACAAGAAGAAAAGCAGGCAGAGAGCACGCAAAUCCACAACAACCACAGAGGCAAGAGGAGCUAAAGCUGCCGGCGACGGGAGCUGCAGCAAUAAAAUCCCAGCAGCCUCCGCUGCCCAGCGACCCCAGCACGCGUCUCUCAGCGCCGCCAUUGCCUCGUGUUUGAGCAGCCAACCCAGAGUCGUGGUGGAAAGGCUCUCAAUGCAGGCAGUCCUCGCGAGGAGCUCCUUCAAAGGGGAAGCGGCGUCGCCCUCGCAUAAGCAACAGAGGAGGAAGUCGCCGGUCAAAGCACAGAGACGACCACAGAGAGGCAGCCAUCAAACACCUGAAUCCCAGAGUCCGGGCUUGGAUGAUAAAGAGUAAGAGAAACGAGGGUAGACGGAGGAGACUGUUGAUCUGUCGCUUUCAAAUGUCAAGAAGUGAACUAGUGCUAUUAAAAAGCAAAACUGCAGUUUGUGCUCUGAUUUCUGCAGGUCUGCAGCCUGUGGCUCUUUAGUUUCUCUGUAUUGGCUCUCCAAGAAUUACUCUAUUUAUUUUAAUUUAUUUGCAUAUCUGGCUUCUUUUCAAAGACUCUCCUGGCUAAAAUGGUUAAAAUUGCAAUUUUAAAAAAGGCUAAAGUCUGCGAAUGUUGCUAAAAGUCUGAGGGGAAAAUUGUUUGAAGUAGGAUUGACUCGGGGGGGAAAUAAAGGAGCCAAAAAGUUUGAAAACAACCCAACUGAAUCAGUUUAAGUUGGCUAAAAGGUCCAAAAUACUUUUAUUAACUAGAAAAACCUAAUUGGAAAAAUUUAUUUUCAAUUGUUGUGAGACGUCAUGAAUGCACGUUAAUAUAAACUACAAAAAUAACUUUAUGGGCUGACCCGUCCUUCGUGAUUCAAUAAGUUUUAUGGCUCCAAAGAGAAUUUUCUGAAGACUUUUGGUGAAAAGUGACAAAAAGGUUUCAGACCUUUGCUCUGCAUGUGUGAAAGAGAGUAGAUAUCCACUGUUGUGAAGAUUUGAAACCUUCCAAAUGCAAUAAAAUCAAGUGGUUCACGGCUGCUGGUUUCAUUUGGUUUUUCCUGUCUGAGACAGUGAUGUUGCAGAUAAUGAUCCCGUGAUCCUUUAGAAACUUCUCCCCCAUCCAGCAGCACUUUCCAGUUUCCUGGUUUAUUUCUGAUAUACUGAAACACAUCGCUACUCACUGAUGUUUUUGCUUGACAGAAAUCGGCCCCUGUCACCGAGCGUCAGCAGCUCGGCACCUCGGCAGCGGGUCGCUACAGAGGCGCUGGCUCCAGGAGAAGGAGACGACUACGUGGCAGAUUCUGAAGACGAGGCGACAAAGAACUUCAAAGGCAGG